rnacentral:rRNA from 1 species
UUGGAGGGCAAGUCUGGUGCCAGCAGCCGCGGUAAUUCCAGCUCCAAUAGCGUAUAUUAAAGUUGUUGCAGUUAAAAAGCUCGUAGUUGAACUUCGGGGGUUACCCAUUGGUCAGGCUUAAUUGUCCGUACUGGUGAGAUGAAUCUCUACCUUCUGAGGAACUUUCAUGCCAUUUAUUUGGUGUGAUGGGAAAUCAGGACUGUUACUUUGAAAAAAUUAGAGUGUUUAAAGCAGGCUAACGUCUGAAUACAUUAGCAUGGAAUAAUGAAAUAGGACGGACUGAUUCUAUUUCGUUGGUUUCUAGGAUCACCGUAAUGAUUAAUAGGGAUAGUUGGGGGCAUUAGUAUUCAAUUGUCAGAGGUGAAAUUCUUGGAUUUAUUGAAGACUAACUACUGCGAAAGCAUUUGCCAAGGAUGUUUUCAUUAAUCAAGAACGAAAGUUAGGGGAUCGAAGACGAUCAGAUACCGUCGUAGUCUUAACCAUAAACUAUGCCGACUAGGGAUCGGACGAAGUUAAUUUUAUAAUGACGCGUUCGGCGCCUUACGGGAAAC